GAUGAACGCUGGCGGCGUGCCUAAUACAUGCAAGUCGAGCGAACAGACGAGGAGCUUGCUCCUCUGACGUUAGCGGCGGACAGGUGAGUAACACGUGGAUAACCUACCUAUAAGACUGGGAUAACUUCGGGAAACCGGAGCUAAUACUGGAUAAUAUAUUGAACCGCAUGGUUCAAUAGUGAAAGACGGUUUUGCUGUCACUUAUAGAUGGAUCCGCGCCGCAUUAGCUAGUUGGUAAGGUAACGGCUUACCAAGGCAACGAUGCGUAGCCGACCUGAGAGGGUGAUCGGCCACACUGGAACUGAGACACGGUCCAGACUCCUACGGGAGGCAGCAGUAGGGAAUCUUCCGCAAUGGGCGAAAGCCUGACGGAGCAACGCCGCGUGAGUGAUGAAGGUCUUCGGAUCGUAAAACUCUGUUAUUAGGGAAGAACAAAUGUGUAAGUAACUAUGCACGUCUGGACGGUACCUAAUCAGAAAGCCACGGCUAACUACGU
rnacentral:rRNA from 1 species